CAAGUUUAUUCGAUCGAAAAAAAUCUACAUUCUCACUGAAAAUUACUAUGUGUUUUAGUUGGAAAAGGAUCUUUGAAUUCAUCGCAAUUGUUCAACUUCAAUUUUGAUACGAUGCACAACAAAAUAUUUAAUAAGCUUCCUAGGGUUCGAGAGCGGCACCCUCAUUUAAAAAUUUGCUUUGGUGUAAACACUUUACCAGUUGACUUAUUUGAAGUGGCAUCUGAUGACUGCAAUCCGGCAUUAUCUUACAUAAAAGAUUGAUAAAGUCAACAGAAUUCUAUUUCUCAUUUCUUAUCAAAA